GACGAACGCUGGCGGCGUGCCUAACACAUGCAAGUCGAGCGGAGAAAUUAAAGCUUGCUUUAAUUUCUUAGCGGCGGACGGGUGAGUAACACGUGGGCAACCUGCCCUUGAGAGGGGGAUAACACAGAGAAAUUUGUGCUAAUACCGCAUAACAUUUAGACUUCGCCUGGAGUUUAAAUCAAAGGAGUAAUCCGCUCAAGGAUGGGACCGCGGCGCAUUAGAUAGUUGGUGAGGUAAUGGCUCACCAAGGCGACGAUGCGUAGCCGACCUGAGAGGGUGAUCGGCCACAUUGGAACUGAGACACGGUCCAGACUCCUACGGGAGGCAGCAGUGGGGAAUAUUGCGCAAUGGGGGAAACCCUGACGCAGCAACGCCGCGUGAGCGAUGAAGGCCUUCGGGUUGUAAAGCUCUGUCUUUGGGGACGAUAAUGACGGUACCCAAGGAGGAAGCCACGGCUAACUACGUGCCAGCAGCCGCGGUAACAC
rnacentral:rRNA from 1 species